CAGUAGCCGCGGUAAUACGUAGGGUGCGAGCGUUAAUCGGAAUUACUGGGCGUAAAGCGUGCGCAGGCGGUUGUGUAAGACAGGUGUGAAAUCCCCGGGCUUAACCUGGGAACUGCGCUUGUGACUGCACAGCUAGAGUAUGGCAGAGGGGGGUGGAAUUCCACGUGUAGCAGUGAAAUGCGUAGAGAUGUGGAGGAACAUCAGUGGCGAAGGCGGCCAUCUGGGACAACACUGACGCUGAGGCACGAAAGCGUGGGGAGCAAACAGGAUUAGAUACCCCCGUAGUCCCUGUCUCUUAUAC
rnacentral:rRNA from 1 species